rnacentral:rRNA from 1 species
UGGGGAAUAUUGCACAAUGGGCGGAAGCCUGAUGCAGCAACGCCGCGUGAGGGAUGACGGCCUUCGGGUUGUAAACCUCUUUUAGCAGGGAAGAAGCGAGAGUGACGGUACCUGCAGAAAAAGCGCCGGCUAACUACGUGCCAGCAGCCGCGGUAAUACGUAGGGCGCAAGCGUUAUCCGGAAUUAUUGGGCGUAAAGAGCUCGUAGGCGGUCUGUCGCGUCUGCUGUGAAAACCCGAGGCUCAACCUCGGGCCUGCAGUGGGUACGGGCAGACUAGAGUGCGGUAGGGGAGAUUGGAAUUCCUGGUGUAGCGGUGAAAUGCGCAGAUAUCAGGAGGAACACCGAUGGCGAAGGCAGAUCUCUGGGCCGUAACUGACGCUGAGGAGCGAAAGGGUGGGGAGCAAACAGGCUUAGAUACCCUGGUAGUCCACCCCGUAAACGUUGGGAACUAGUUGUGGGGACCUUUCCACGGUCUCCGUGACGCAGCUAACGCAUUAAGUUCCCCGCCUGGGGAGUACGGCCGCAAGGCUAAAACUCAAA